CAGCUAACUCCCCCCUGACAUAACAAGUAGUGGUAGAGUCCAAUUUAGCCACCACCCCUAUAAAGCUGCUGUAGUUCCAGACACCACCCCUUUGUCCCUGCAGCCUGAAUCCGCAACACUGGUCUUGCCAGCCAGGGGAGCGACAGGAGGAGGUGUACCCUGUUGUUCAUAAAUAUGGCGUGCACUGAAGAGUAAUGCAAUCACUCAAAAUGUGAACCGCAAAGAAGUGGAAAUGGCGCUGGGGAAGUGGUUUACCGGCGCACGUGACCGUGGAGGGGAGAGGGCUGCAAGAGCCCAAAGAGAAAAAGGAGCGUCCACCACACAGACGCCAUGAGUGUAUUUUGUAUUAAUGUAUUUUUUGGA